rnacentral:rRNA from 1 species
GACGAACGCUGGCGGCGUGCCUAAUACAUGCAAGUCGAACGCAGUGGGGACGGGUGAGUAACACGUGGGUAACCUCCCAUCAGAGGGGAUAACACUUGGAAACAGGUGCUAAACCGAUACUGAUGGAUGGACCCGGGGUGCAUUAGCUAGUGGGUGAGGUAACGGCUCACCAAGGACACGAUGCAUAGCUGGCCGGAGAGGGUGAUCGGCCACCCUGGGACGUAGACACGGCCCAGACUCCUACGGGAGGCAGCAGUAGGGAAUCUUCGGCAAUGGACGAAAGUCUGACCGAGCAACGCCGCGUGAGUGAAGAAGGUUUUCGGUUCGUAAAACUCUGUUGUUGGAGAAGCGGUAUCUAACCAGAAAGCCACGGCUAACUACGUGCCAGCAGCCGCGGUAAUAC